rnacentral:hammerhead_ribozyme from 1 species
AUCCAGCUGACCAGUCCCAAAAUGGGACGAAACGCGCGUCCUGGAU